rnacentral:lncRNA from 1 species
AGCUCGCAGAGGCAGCGGCGGCGGCGGCGGAGACGGAGAGAGCUCGGAGAGCAGAGAAAGGCAGAGAGAGCGAGAAAUAGAGACAGGCAGGCAAACAGACAGACAGACAGAACGGGAGGGAGGAGGGCGGCGGAGGAGGAACAGGAGGACUACGCGGGGCGCGUUCCCUCCCAGCCGUGCGCCCGCGUCGCUGCCGCCGCGGGAAGACAGACGCCCCCCAAAGCCCCUCGCCUGGCUCGGACUCACGGAGCCAGCAGCCCAGCACUCCGAUGGGAGCUUGCCUGAUUGUCUACCCAUCAACCUGGACCCCAGAGCCUGCCCAGCUGAGUGUGUGCAGAGGGUCCCAGGUGAGGGGCGCUGCUCAGGCCUCUGCAGAGACCACCCUGGAGACACUGACAGAGAGAGGCCUUUCCUACUGAGCCUGGCCUCUCUGCACAGCCUGUUCAGAAAGAAGAACUGAGGCUCAUGGAUAUACACUAAGCCCCCCUCCCCCAAUCCUGCCACCUAGCCUGAGGACUCUUCCCUGCACCUUGAUAACCUGAGAGAACUGGGAGGAGAAAGGGGUUGUGACAAUGACCAGGACUCAGGGCAGAGGUGGAAACAAGUGUGCCUGAUGUAUGCAGCUGAUCCCCCAGGACAUCUCUCUACUGGAGUCUGGAAGCAGAGAGCUGGGAGGCCAAG